rnacentral:lncRNA from 12 species
CCUGCAAUGGCUCUACUGUGGCUCUGCUACUAAAACCUUAGUGAAAAGACAGCAGGAUCCUGUCCAGGGUGGAUGAGCGCUCCUGGAGGUUGUGCACUGAUGAGGAGCAUUCGCGCGCUCUCCGACAGGAAAUCUCUUGGAACUCCAAUCCUUGCUAUUCAGAGAAGAGGAUGUGAGCUGUGCUCUGAGUCCCCUCACACUCAGCUGAGUGAAGCACGCUUCGAUGCAGCACAUCCUCUAUAAUGCCAACGUGUCGAGCUAGUGAAAUAAUAUACAAUGUUUACAUCACCUUACUUCCUUAUUCCCAGGUAAGAACCGACUGGCCCCUAAUAUAAUUCUACAAGUCAAGUCAUUGAUGUCAGUAGUGUUAAGACCACGGUGCCUGGUUCUGAGGAACGAGGACUCCUAUAGUGGUGGUCAUGUGGGUUAAAGAAGGCAUUAAGUGUCAUAUUCUCAUAGGUGGCUUCCAUUAAAAUAGAAAAACUUAUUAAUAUAACAACAUAUCUUAUUUGUUACAAAGCCUGCUUUCAAUUCAGAUAGUAUAUAUAAUGUAGAGAAAGAGUAAACAACAUAAAUAUCUAGAGUUUUCUUUCAUUAAAAAUUCUAAGUCACCACAUAAUGAAAUACCAGUUUCCCCCCCAAACCCCAGUUAAUUCUACCCUGAAUCCCUUAACUUGGAGGUAGAGUGUUCCAGCCCAUGCAACCUUAUAAAUUAGGGUAUAGAGAAAUUAGAGCUACUUUACCAGACUGCUUCUUAAGUAUCAAGGACAAGUCUCGAUCUAGAAAAUAAAGCUGUGCAUCCCCGGAUCA